UACAGAGGGUGCGAGCGUUAAUCGGAAUUACUGGGCGUAAAGCGUGCGUAGACGGUUAUUUAAGUCGGGUGUGAAAGCCCCGGGCUCAACCUGGGAAUUGCAUUCGAGACUGAAUAGCUAGGGUACGGUAGAGGGAAGCGGAAUUUCCGGUGUAGCGGUGAAAUGCGUAGAUAUCGGAAGGAACAUCAGUGGCGAAGGCGGGUCUCUGGACAGUUCCUGACACUGAGGCACGAAGGCCAGGGGAGCAAACGGG
rnacentral:rRNA from 1 species